CCUACGGGUGGCAGCAGUGAGGAAUAUUGGUCAAUGGACGGAAGUCUGAACCAGCCAUGCCGCGUGCAGGAAGACGGCUCUAUGAGUUGUAAACUGCUUUUGUACAAGGGUAAACCUGAAUACGUGUAUUCAGCUGAAAGUACUGUACGAAUAAGGAUCGGCUAACUCCGUGCCAGCAGCCGCGGUAAUACGGAGGAUACAAGCGUUAUCCGGAUUUAUUGGGUUUAAAGGGUGCGUAGGCGGAUUGAUAAGUUAGAGGUGAAAUGUCCGGGCUUAACUCGGGAACUGCCUCUAAUACUGUUGAUCUAGAGGGUAGGUGAGGUAGGCGGAAUGCUUGGUGUAGCGGUGAAAUGCUUAGAGAUCAUACAGAACACUGAUUGCGAAGGCGGCUUACCAGUCUAUAUCUGACGUUGAGGCGCGAAAGCGUGGGGAGCAAACAGGAUUAGAUACCCUUGUAGUC
rnacentral:rRNA from 1 species